rnacentral:rRNA from 1 species
UACGUAGGUGGCAAGCGUUAUCCGGAAUUAUUGGGCGUAAAGAGCGCGCAGGUGGUUGAUUAAGUCUGAUGUGAAAGCCCACGGCUUAACCGUGGAGGGUCAUUGGAAACUGGUCGACUUGAGUGCAGAAGAGGGAAGUGGAAUUCCAUGUGUAGCGGUGAAAUGCAUAGAGAUAUGGAGGAACACCAGUGGCGAAGGCGGCUUCCUGGUCUGUAACUGACACUGAGGCGCGAAAGCGUGGGGAUCAAACAGGAUUAGA